rnacentral:lncRNA from 1 species
GUAUAUAUAUAUGUUGAAUUACAUAUUAUUGUUGAGCAAGAUUAAAAACCUUCGGUUUUGGAACCAGGCAUGUAUGAACAUCCCUAUAUGGGAAAAUUUUUGCGCCCGAGGCGGAUAGAAUAAAACGAUGAAUUUCGUUCAGAGUUAUGUAGUAUUGAUCAAUACAGGGUACAACGGGGCUGAUCACCCUCCGUACCCGUAAGCUAGAACGGUUUGCGGAUGGAUUUCUGCCAAACCUUUUCGAAAAUAAAAAACAAUGUUCAUAGUAUGUUUCUUAAACCCUAUUCAUGGGUAGAGCUAGAGCCAAAUUUAAAUAAUUUGGAAGAGAGUUGUUAUGUGAAUUUUUAUCAGUACAGAUUACUUCACAACUUUCGAUUCGUUGUAGAAGUGUUAUAUAAAGAGAAUACUUAUAUUCUUUCAGCUUAUAUAUAUAAUUGCUAUUACUUGCUGGGCACUCAAAUGCUCAUCCUUGCUUAAAUUAAAUGUUUUCAGUUACGUA